rnacentral:lncRNA from 1 species
GCCUGAUCUGCAAAGGAGAAAAUCAAUUGCACUAUAUAUCCAGUGGAAGACAAAAAGCUUUAGAGACUUGUCGAUACACUUUAAGCAUUACCUCAUGGCUGUGGGUUGCUGUAUGAGUAUGGUUGAGAAGUAUUUUGUUGCUCUGUAUGCUAGUUACUGGGCUGUCUGUCCCAGAGUGUGUGGACCUUUACAAACAUUGUCACUUCAAGAAUGAGUAAAAGGGAGAUUUCUGAGAUACCAGCAGCUCAAGUGACUCCACAGGAACUGUGGCAUUUAUCACAGACAAAAUUAGGUUGGAAGAAAGCAUAAAGGUACCAAACUAAAAAGGGAUCUAUAUUCAUCCUUAGAAGAAAAACGUUCUCACUUUGCAAACUGGGGGUUAAUUCUGCUCUUUCACAUAAGGGAGAGAAGAGGCAAAGAGGAAGGAGUGACUAACACAAAUAGCACAGUGGUAAGUCCAACUUUAUUUUAUUUAUCUAAACCUGUCUUGUUUCUGCAGCUCCAUACAUUUUUAAAUAAGAAUGAUCUUGGCAUGUAUAAGGGAAUUUAAUUUAGUAUAUUCCCUAUCUGGCAAUAUAUAUUUUUUAUACAUUUCAGGUAAUUUGUAAGACAGCUUCACCCAGUCCCCAAAGAAGGUAAAAACUGGACCAUUGGUUGCAGCAGUUGGUGACGGUGUGUUUUCACUUGCUUGCUAUAAUGUUUUCUAAAUUUAAAAUUUAGAAGAAAUC